UACGGAGGGUGCGAGCGUUGUCCGGAAUCAUUGGGCGUAAAGGGCGCGUAGGUGGCCCGGUCAGCGUGCGGUGAAAGCUCGGGGCUCAACCCCGAGUCGGCCGUGCGAACUGCUGGGCUGGAGCACUGUAGAGGCAGGCGGAAUUCCGGGUGUAGCGGUGGAAUGCGUAGAGAUCCGGAAGAACACCGGUGGCGAAGGCGGCCUGCUGGGCAGUGGCUGACACUGAGGCGCGACAGCGUGGGGAGCAAACAGGG
rnacentral:rRNA from 1 species